ensembl:snRNA
AAAAUGGGCUUCUGUCAUGAGUGGCACAUGUAAGGCAACUCAUUUUCGCUAUGUGUGGAUUUGACAUCAAGAGAUUUCGGAAGCAAACCCA